GUGGGUUAUGAAGUUGAUUUUGGAAUAAAUAGGUUGAUUGGAAUUGAAUUUAAUCUUUGAGUUUGUGUUAAAUUUGAAAUUGUUGGAUAUUGAGGUUUUGUUGGAUUUGGAUUGUUGAACAUGGUUGUUGGAUUUGUCAUGUUGGAAGUAGAGAGAAUUUGAGAUUGUUAGAGUUGAAAUUGUGAUUUUGCAAAGGAGAGAAAAAUUAAGAAAGAAUGUGGAAUUGUUCUAUUUUGUGGAGGAGUUUGGAGUGGAGAUUGUGUUUUGGAAAAGAGAAUUUAGAGAGGAGUUGAAAUUUAGAGAUGGAAUUGUGAGUGGAAAUAAGGAAGGUUAAAAAUGAAUUUGGAAAUUUUUGGAAAGGAUUUAUAUUAUAAUUUGGUGGAAAAUUUUGUUGAAGGAAGUGAAUUAAAAUUUGUUUAGUUAUCGAAAGGUUCUUGUGAAGAUUUAAAUUAAGUGAGGUCCUUGAACGAUUGAGAAAUCGAAUUAAAAAUCAGUUGAAUAGUUUGAAUUAAAGGGCUUUGAGGGCUUUGAGAUUUUAAGGAAUUAUAGAAUUUAAUCCCAAGUUUAAGUGAGGGAGUUUUAUGACAAUUUGUGAUUAACGGAUGCUUAUUCCGAGGGGAAUGAGUUGACGUAUUGAGCCCUCGAACGAGGAGGACACAGACAGGCAGCAGGGUUAGCUGCGGGAUUCACUUAUUUCAGAUUAGCCGAGAUUGCGUCCAGGCUCAAGGACUUGGAAAUCAGCGCUUCCGUUUUUGCCCGUAGGUUAUUACUUAACCUACCUUGUAUGAUAUCGGCUUAGUUUAGUGUUGCUCUGAUAAACAUUUUCUUGAAGUUUGAUGGAUGUUGUAUUAUGGGUUGUUGUUGCUUACGGAGGAUUAUGUUGGGAUUUGAGCUUUUCGGAUGUAAUAUAUGUGCAUGGAUUGUAAAUUUGAUAUUGUAGGUUGAGUAGAAGAUAUAGUUGAAAUCUUGUCCAGGUUUGUGAAAUUUUGGGUAGCCCAUUUUUAGGGGAGGUUCUGCCGAAUUUUCGGUAGGAUUU
rnacentral:lncRNA from 1 species